GCAGAACGCGAAGAACCUUACCAGGCCUUGACAUGCAGAGAACUUUCCAGAGAUGGAUUGGUGCCUUCGGGAACCGUGAGACAGGUGCUGCAUGGCUGUCGUCAGCUCGUGUCGUGAGAUGUUGGGUUAAGUCCCGCAACGAGCGCAACCCUUGUCCUUAGUUGCCAGCACGUAAUGGUGGGAACUCUAAGGAGACCGCCGGUGACAAACCGGAGGAAGGUGGGGGAUGACGUCAAGUCAUCAUGGCCCUUACGACCAGGGCUACACACGUACUACAAUGGUGGGGACAGAGGGCUGCAAACCCGCGAGGGUGAGCCAAUCCCAGAAAAACCUGUCUUAGUCCGGAUUGCAGUCUGCAACUCGACUGCAUGAAGCUGGAAUCGCUAGGUAAUCGCAGAUCAGCAUUGCUGC
rnacentral:rRNA from 1 species